CCGAACAUGCCAAUACGUCACAUGUAACGUAGACGUUGCACCAUGCGAUGCCGAACGGCCAGUAACCUGGAAGUUAUUCAUUCUAUUCACUCUUGUUUCGCAAAUCUAAGUCAUACGAUUCAUUUAUGACCCGGACGGGAGUAAAUAGUAUUACAUUAGGUGACUAAACUUUGACAAUUGAAAAGUUAGCGAAUGUGAAACGAGAGAACAAUUUCUAUGCAGAGUGUUGUGGUCUCUGAAGCAGAUAUUGUAAUAAUAGGUAUGAGGAUAUCAGGUGAGCUGUGAUUUUGCUUUAUCAUGUGACGAGAAACGAAAUCUCGUUUUUUGUUAUUCGAAACAACUCGAAAACUUCUCUCCGGCUACUCGAAGCCAUCACUUUGAAAGUAAUAAUCAAACUAGCAUGUACCCCGCAAUAAAGUAUGUAUGUACAUACACAUACUUGAAAACUAAUUUUACAAGUUUCCAACCGUGUUCAUAGUCUGAUGAUGAAAAAAAAGAAGAAAGUCCAUGCGAUCACUUGUCAAGUUAUUUACCAGGCUAGGCAAUAUUCCAACUUCAUUUCCAAUUAGUUUUGAAAUUCAACCCCGAAAAUCUAUAUGGUUCACGAGAACUGGAAGAGGUAACAUCUUCGCGAAUGUUCUCGCAGGGGAAGAACAUCAAAAAGUCGUCUCGGCUGUAAUUUGACAGUUAUUCCAAAAAUCGUGAAAUCUAUGUCUCGUUUCGUUAAAUUUGCUUUUUCUCCGUAUCUGGCCAGAAAUAUUUUAAUGGGUGAAUAACUUUGACGAUUUCUUGGAAGUAAUAAGAGAAAAGACUUGCAUCUUUUAUCAAAAAAAGAAACAAUAUUGCACUAUCAUCGUCCAAAGUAGAAGAGAACAUUUUUAAAACGAUUUACGUAAAGCUUUAAUUUGGCUCUUCGGUAUAAUACGAGGGGUAUACGUAUAGUAAAUGGAAAACGAAUCCCCUUUGCAAAAUUGAGGAUCCCCUCAUUCGCACUUUACACUUUAUACUUUCCUUGAAUGAGUACCUUGUACUCUCAGCUGGGUCGGUUGUCUAGCCCGGCAACUGUUAACGUGCUUUUAACCCUUUGAUAUCCUUUGCACCGUAUGUAAACGUGUUGAACGGCGCAAGAAUGAAGGGGUUGAUAGCAUCGCCUAGAAACUUUAUUCAGUACCUCGAUGCCGAAAUUACCAGUCUCGUGGUUUUCAUUAUUUUAUCAUUAUUAUCAUAAUCGUCAUCAUCAUCAUCAUCAUCAUCAUCAUCAUUAUUAUUAUAAAGAUGAUUUUUAUCGUCACUUUGAGCGAGACCAUAGAUAUAUUGGCGAGACUAUCGAGUGUGGUUGAGAAAUUCUAAAUUUUGGAUUGUUUCAAACCUGUUUCAUAGAGAUAAGCUAUUCCAUCAGAAUUAACACGCCUGGAGAACGAGAUUAGCGGCAGCGUAUCACCACCAAGUACCGUAGGCUACUCGAUAAGUUCGUAAAAAGUUUUAGUAUUCCAAAGAUACAAUGCUCUCGUUCGAGUUAUUCGUAAGUGGUAAUUAAAUAAUUGAUACCUCUGAAUCCUAUGAUUAAUCCAAUUUAUCCGAGCUUGAAGUCGUCACUUUUAUUCCAUGUCUCGUUUUAUUUUUCCUCCUUUUGUUCAACCAUAUAUAUAUUUGUUCGCAUUAAAUGAUAUCCAAACAUUCUAGGUAUCAUUUUUGGGGGUGAGUUUGAAUCACGCUUGAGCAUCAAUGAUUUUUAUACUUCGAUCGAUACAAGAGACCUUUUUCAAAAGUUUCCAGAGGGUGGUUUUUCUCGACAGUUUUUCUAGAACGGCGGUCAUCUUGCGGAAGAAAACUACUCGAAAUAAACCUAUGUAAUUGUCAGAUUAUGAUGGAGGGAAAUAUUUUGCGGCAGCUUCAACUUUCCUCCAGAAAACCGCUUCAUUUUCAUUCGACGCCGGUAUUUUUACCAAAAUUGACCUCGAUUCUACUAUAUACAUUCUACAGAACUGGCGCCAAAUCUAAUGAGAAACUUUUCAACGUCGAGUAUUUAAUUAAAUGAGGUUCUACAAGAUGAAGGUACCCGCAUUUUUAUACCAGUCCUUCUGUCGAGUAAAUUUUUUUAAUUCAGAUUCAUCCUGUUUCCUUUAUAUUCGGUAACAACCGGGACUAGGUUACACCGACAUCAUUGAGUGUAGCCGAAUUGAGAAGAAACAGUAUCAGAUGAAGAAGAGGAAUUGCUCCCCCCCCCCCCUCAUUUGUGGCAACGGAUUGCCACCCCAAUCAAUUUGUCUUUGCAAGGUCUUUGAAAUCCAUCAGGGAGAACUGUUCGAGCGAAAAAUGUUCGUUGUUGGCCAUGGUAUUUUUCAAAAUUCUUACAAAAUAAUCGAUCACAGUUCUGUUUUGAAUUCUUGAGAUUUCCAAAAUUAAGACUUGAGAACUAUUAUAGGCGUAUCCGAAGGUAGUGCUCGCUGACUGGCGAUGAGAAUUUUGAGAAUAACAAGUGAGAAUGGACGAAGGCGGAGCCCCAGCCAAUUGAAGCUCCUCCCGAAUCGGACCUUUGUGGUGAUUCACCCUGUAUACUGACAGAAUCAAGAGACUCGGUAGAGUUUUGUUUUCUUUUCCCCUCAAUCCUAAGUAUUCUUUUCUCUUUUAUUUUUUUGCUGGUAUAGUUAUGAAAAGCUUCUUUGAGAUGGUAUACGAGUGACAUACGUUAUAUCUAGAUGAUACAUCCGCUGCCGGUGGUUGAAGAAAGCUGAACGGGAAUAGGAUAAAAAACGAGAACAGAGAAACAAAAACAAAUGCCUAAAAAUCAUACAAAGGCGCGAGGAGAGGUGAUCGGUGUCCAGGGAGUGAAAAGAGAAGGAAGAUGGAGGCACUUAGAGCAUUACUCACCCAAAAACCCGGGGAUGGCGCCUAAGGGCAUAACGAAUAAACUGACGAGUAGGUCAGCGACGGCGAGUGAUAACAGGAAAUAAUUGGUUACGUUGUGUAAACGGCGGUCAAGACCGACGGCGAGGCAGACGAGAAUAUUUCCGAGACCACCGGCGAAUAUGAAAACCGCGACGAAGAGAAAACUCCAAUCGAAACGACGACCUUUUACCGUCCAAGGUGGACGUUCACGCCGACUGCACGUCGCUGGAAUACCAGGGUUCUCAGGGUCGCUGAAGCGGACGAGAUCUCAGGAUUACGAAAAUGUAACAGCGGACUCCGUUUGCAAAUUCGGGCCGAACAGUUUCAGAAAUAUAAUAGUCAAAGUGAAAGAUGA